AUACAGAGGGUGCGAGCGUUAAUCGGAUUUACUGGGCGUAAAGCGCGCGUAGGUGGCUAAUUAAGUCAAAUGUGAAAUCCCCGAGCUUAACUUGGGAAUUGCAUUCGAUACUGGUUGGCUAGAGUAUGGGAGAGGAUGGUAGACUUCCUGGUGUAGCGGUAAAAUGCGUAGAUAUCAGGAGGAAUACCGGUGGCGAAGGCGGUCAUCUGGCUCAUUAUUGACGCUGAAGCACGAAAGCGUAGGUAGCGAACAGGAUUAGAUACCCUGGUAGUCUACGCUGUAAACGAUGUAUGCUUGGUGUUAUGCGUUUAUGCGCGUAGUGCCGUAGGAAAUCUGGUAAGCAUACCACCUGGGGAGUACGAAUGCAAGUUUGAAACUCAAAGGAAUUGACGGGG
rnacentral:rRNA from 1 species